rnacentral:rRNA from 1 species
GGAUUAGUGGCGAACGGGUGAGUAACACGUGGGUGAUCUGCCCCGCACUUCGGGAUAAGCCUGGGAAACUGGGUCUAAUACCGGAUACGACCCCUGGUAGGUCAGGGGGUGGAAAGAUUUUAUCGGUGUGGGAUGAGCCUGCGGCCUAUCAGCUUGUUGGUGGGGUAAUGGCCUACCAAGGCGUCGACGGGUAGCCGGCCUGAGAGGGUGAUCGGCCACAUUGGGACUGAGACACGGCCCAG